UUAAGCGACUAAGCGUACACGGUGGAUGCCCUGGCAGUCAGAGGCGAUGAAGGACGUGCUAAUCUGCGAUAAGCGUCGGUAAGGUGAUAUGAACCGUUAUAACCGGCGAUUUCCGAAUGGGGAAACCCAGUGUGUUUCGACACACUAUCAUUAACUGAAUCCAUAGGUUAAUGAGGCGAACCGGGGGAACUGAAACAUCUAAGUACCCCGAGGAAAAGAAAUCAACCGAGAUUCCCCCAGUAGCGGCGAGCGAACGGGGAGCAGCCCAGAGCCUGAAUCAGUGUGUGUGUUAGUGGAAGCGUCUGGAAAGGCGCGCGAUACAGGGUGACAGCCCCGUACACAAAAAUGCACAUGCUGUGAGCUCGAUGAGUAGGGCGGGACACGUGGUAUCCUGUCUGAAUAUGGGGGGACCAUCCUCCAAGGCUAAAUACUCCUGACUGACCGAUAGUGAACCAGUACCGUGAGGGAAAGGCGAAAAGAACCCCGGCGAGGGGAGUGAAAAAGAACCUGAAACCGUGUACGUACAAGCAGUGGGAGCACGCUUAGGCGUGUGACUGCGUACCUUUUGUAUAAUGGGUCAGCGACUUAUAUUCUGUAGCAAGGUUAACCGAAUAGGGGAGCCGAAGGGAAACCGAGUCUUAACUGGGCGUUAAGUUGCAGGGUAUAGACCCGAAACCCGGUGAUCUAGCCAUGGGCAGGUUGAAGGUUGGGUAACACUAACUGGAGGACCGAACCGACUAAUGUUGAAAAAUUAGCGGAUGACUUGUGGCUGGGGGUGAAAGGCCAAUCAAACCGGGAGAUAGCUGGUUCUCCCCGAAAGCUAUUUAGGUAGCGCCUCGUGAAUUCAUCUCCGGGGGUAGAGCACUGUUUCGGCAAGGGGGUCAUCCCGACUUACCAACCCGAUGCAAACUGCGAAUACCGGAGAAUGUUAUCACGGGAGACACACGGCGGGUGCUAACGUCCGUCGUGAAGAGGGAAACAACCCAGACCGCCAGCUAAGGUCCCAAAGUCAUGGUUAAGUGGGAAACGAUGUGGGAAGGCCCAGACAGCCAGGAUGUUGGCUUAGAAGCAGCCAUCAUUUAAAGAAAGCGUAAUAGCUCACUGGUCGAGUCGGCCUGCGCGGAAGAUGUAACGGGGCUAAACCAUGCACCGAAGCUGCGGCAGCGACGCUGAUGCGUUGUUGGGUAGGGGAGCGUUCUGUAAGCCUGCGAAGGUGUGCUGUGAGGCAUGCUGGAGGUAUCAGAAGUGCGAAUGCUGACAUAAGUAACGAUAAAGCGGGUGAAAAGCCCGCUCGCCGGAAGACCAAGGGUUCCUGUCCAACGUUAAUCGGGGCAGGGUGAGUCGACCCCUAAGGCGAGGCCGAAAGGCGUAGUCGAUGGGAAACAGGUUAAUAUUCCUGUACUUGGUGUUACUGCGAAGGGGGGACGGAGAAGGCUAUGUUGGCCGGGCGACGGUUGUCCCGGUUUAAGCGUGUAGGCUGGUUUUCCAGGCAAAUCCGGAAAAUCAAGGCUGAGGCGUGAUGACGAGGCACUACGGUGCUGAAGCAACAAAUGCCCUGCUUCCAGGAAAAGCCUCUAAGCAUCAGGUAACAUCAAAUCGUACCCCAAACCGACACAGGUGGUCAGGUAGAGAAUACCAAGGCGCUUGAGAGAACUCGGGUGAAGGAACUAGGCAAAAUGGUGCCGUAACUUCGGGAGAAGGCACGCUGAUAUGUAGGUGAAGUCCCUUGCGGAUGGAGCUGAAAUCAGUCGAAGAUACCAGCUGGCUGCAACUGUUUAUUAAAAACACAGCACUGUGCAAACACGAAAGUGGACGUAUACGGUGUGACGCCUGCCCGGUGCCGGAAGGUUAAUUGAUGGGGUUAGCCGCAAGGCGAAGCUCUUGAUCGAAGCCCCGGUAAACGGCGGCCGUAACUAUAACGGUCCUAAGGUAGCGAAAUUCCUUGUCGGGUAAGUUCCGACCUGCACGAAUGGCGUAAUGAUGGCCAGGCUGUCUCCACCCGAGACUCAGUGAAAUUGAACUCGCUGUGAAGAUGCAGUGUACCCGCGGCAAGACGGAAAGACCCCGUGAACCUUUACUAUAGCUUGACACUGAACAUUGAGCCUUGAUGUGUAGGAUAGGUGGGAGGCUUUGAAGUGUGGACGCCAGUCUGCAUGGAGCCGACCUUGAAAUACCACCCUUUAAUGUUUGAUGUUCUAACGUGGACCCGUGAUCCGGGUUGCGGACAGUGUCUGGUGGGUAGUUUGACUGGGGCGGUCUCCUCCUAAAGAGUAACGGAGGAGCACGAAGGUUGGCUAAUCCUGGUCGGACAUCAGGAGGUUAGUGCAAUGGCAUAAGCCAGCUUGACUGCGAGCGUGACGGCGCGAGCAGGUGCGAAAGCAGGUCAUAGUGAUCCGGUGGUUCUGAAUGGAAGGGCCAUCGCUCAACGGAUAAAAGGUACUCCGGGGAUAACAGGCUGAUACCGCCCAAGAGUUCAUAUCGACGGCGGUGUUUGGCACCUCGAUGUCGGCUCAUCACAUCCUGGGGCUGAAGUAGGUCCCAAGGGUAUGGCUGUUCGCCAUUUAAAGUGGUACGCGAGCUGGGUUUAGAACGUCGUGAGACAGUUCGGUCCCUAUCUGCCGUGGGCGCUGGAGAACUGAGGGGGGCUGCUCCUAGUACGAGAGGACCGGAGUGGACGCAUCACUGGUGUUCGGGUUGUCAUGCCAAUGGCACUGCCCGGUAGCUAAAUGCGGAAGAGAUAAGUGCUGAAAGCAUCUAAGCACGAAACUUGCCCCGAGAUGAGUUCUCCCUGACCCUUUAAGGGUCCUGAAGGAACGUUGAAGACGACGACGUUGAUAGGCCGGGUGUGUAAGCGCAGCGAUGCGUUGAGCUAACCGGUACUAAUGAACCGUGAGGCUUAACCUU
rnacentral:rRNA from 1 species